UAAUCGAUAUUUGACAGCAAACAACACAAAAUAUGUGUGAUAAUUAAAAAAUGAUUUGGAAAAAAAAAUUAAGGUGUCUCGCAAAAUUACAAACGGCUCUAAAUAUUGUAAACAGUCCUUUUAAGGCUUUAUAAUAGAUUAUAUUUUGAAUGCAUUAUUAUAUCCCAUUAAUUUGUACUUAUAUUUGAAAAAUUCACGCCUAUUGAACAAUCUUGGGUAAGCAAUGUCGCUCUGAUCAUCUACUUCAAGGAUGUAUCUGGUAGAAAAUCGUUUAUAGUUGGAAA